CCCACAGUCCUCUUUCGAUCCAGAUGUGCCCACGUAAAUUCGCCAUUACUCAGCUGACAGCUUGCGUCAUUCAUACGGACAAUGAAGUGGUUCACCUGAGCAAAGAGACGGAGACACAGUGUCUGCGACAAGUCGAAAAAUCACCUAUGUGUGUUUUUGUUCGGAAUUCGUUGUGCGAACUGCGAUCGAUUCCUGGUCACUAUCAAUGCCACUUCUACGAGCGGACAAUGGGUGCAGUUUAUGAAAGCGGCUCUAGGUGGACGGACACCCAGCUUCCCGGACAAUCGAAAAUUUGUCCGCUUGAUAGGGGCGUGCAGUCCUUACAUUACCUGUCCCCUACCUGCUUAUUGUUCCUCCGGGCCUGAGAAUAUUUUCAUACCGGCCAGACAGUGCGACGUCGUUCACAUCGCACAAGUGACACAAUGAUCUAUGCCCUCUCCAUUCGAUCCUUUACAAUUGCGACUAUUUGCUCCAGAUACACAGUGCACCUUUAACUUCUAGAGACCACUCUCUGCAACAAGUUCAAACAAUCAUUUCUCAAGAUAGUGAUAGUGAUAGCUGGCAAUUAAUAAGCAGUUUGGAUUGAUCGACGAGGGAAUUCGGCGCUUCUUAUAAGUGUGUAUUUUCACGCAUGCAUAUUUUUGAGCUUUGGUGCACAGAAGAAGGCUAAGUAUGCAG